rnacentral:lncRNA from 1 species
UUCAGAACUUUUCCAGGUUCAGUCAAUGUCCGAGCUAUUGAGCCAAGUGUUAUUUUCAGCUCCAACAGCUCCCUUGUUUUGCGAGUUCAGCCCAGACAGGAAACCACCCAGUCUGGGAGGAUUCAGUUAGAUCCCGAAAGAGCACGCACACUCAGGUCCCCCUGGUCUUCUCACAACCCUGCCUAGCGGACACAAGGAAAUCCAACACCUGGCUCAGGUGCAGAGUCAGCCAGGUCUGUAGAUCUACAGCAUCUCAUCAGGAUGCAAAACUUCAAUGGACUCAAAGCCAGACUCUCAGCUUGUCACCUGGGUGAAGGUGAGGGGGGGACACGCAUAUCAAGAUCACAUAAUGAGGAUACAAGAUCUCUAUGGCCUGCCUACUCUUUCAAGCUAAAGAACAUUUUUAUCCUUCUUCCUCAUUGUGGCAGAGACCAAGAGGAAAAGAGAAGAAAGAUAGGGAGAUGGAAAGGGAGAGAGAGAAAAGGAGUGGGACGGACACUACAGGCUCUUCAGGUUAAAUGAGCGUUGCCCCA